ACUUUAUCUGUUUUUUCUUCAGAGCAGAAUGCUACACAGGCUAAUCUCUCCUGAGUGACACAGCUAACAGAGGAGUAAACACUCCCGUAAAGGUGUUUCUCAGAAAUACAGCCGGCCAUGAAGAGAUCCAUCAUGAAGAGGAAACAAAGAAACAAAGAACAGUUACACAACGACAGAGGAACAAAUCCCCUGGACUGAUAAGAGUUAUUCAUGUUGUUAUUGUGCUAUUACGCUGUACUUUUCUGCUCUGUCUGUAUGCUUUGGCAAUGCAUACAUAGUUUGUUUGUCAUGGCAGUGAAUCAAAUGGAAGAAAAUCAAAGAAAGGCCAUAAAUGACAUGUUUAAGCCAUG